AAGUCGUAACAAGGUCUCCGUAGGUGAACCUGCGGAAGGAUCAUUAACACGUAUACUUUCAGACGUUCUUGUAGCCCUGGCGGAACAGCAAUCCCGGUAAAUCAAUGGCGGAAAAAGUUUUGAUUCGGGACCUCUGCCCAAAAGGUAUAAAGUUACAAUCGAGCUAGAGCACUUCCCUAAGCAGUGAGGGAUCCACUGAGUAAGGAUAACGCUUCAUGGUUGCUAGAGGUCGAUCACCGGCAUAUGCCCCCCCUUUCACACCUUGCACUGAUCAAGCCCCACGGAAACGUCGGGGCAUUAAAACGAACAACUGUUAACAAUGGAUAUCUUGGUUCUC
rnacentral:misc_RNA from 1 species